rnacentral:rRNA from 1 species
CACGAAGUUAGCCGGGGCUUAUUCUUACGGUACCGUCAUUAUCUUCCCGUACAAAAGGGCUUUACAACCCUAAGGCCUUCAUCACUCACGCGGCAUGGCUGGAUCAGGCUUGCGCCCAUUGUCCAAUAUUCCCCACUGCUGCCUCCCGUAGGAGUUUGGGCCGUGUCUCAGUCCCAAUGUGGCUGAUCAUCCUCUCAGACCAGCUACUGAUCGUCGCCUUGGUGCGCCUUUACCACACCAACUAGCUAAUCAGACGCGGGCCAAUCUCUCGGCGAUAAAUCUUUCCCCGUAAGGGCUUAUCCGGUAUUAGCACAAGUUUCCCUGUGUUGUUCCGAACCAAGAGGUUAUGUUCCCACGCGUUACUCACCCGUCUGCCACUGACAUAUUGCUAUGCCCGUUCGACUUGCAUGUGUUAAGCCUGCCGCCAGCGUUCGCUCUGUAGCCACGGAUCAAACUC